rnacentral:tRNA from 1 species
CGGAGUUAGAAGGCCUUGAUCCUUCACAACACUAGUUAACAGCUAGUUCACCCACCAAUAGGUACUAACCCC